rnacentral:rRNA from 1 species
GGUGAGUAACACGUGGGUGAUCUGCCCUGCACUCUGGGAUAAGCCUGGGAAACUGGGUCUAAUACCGGAUAGGACCAUGCUUUAGUGUGUGUGGUGGAAAGUUUUUCGGUGUAGGAUGAGCCCGCGGCCUAUCAGCUUGUUGGUGGGGUAAUGGCCUACCAAGGCGGCGACGGGUAGCCGGACUGAGAGGUUGGUCGGCCACAUUGGGACUGAGAUACGGCCCAG